rnacentral:rRNA from 1 species
UACGUAGGAUGCAAGCGUUGUUCGGAAUUACUGGGCGUAAAGAGUACGUAGGCGGUUUGAUAAGUCUGCUAUUAAAGACUGGAGCUUAACUCCAGGACUGUAGUGGAAACUGUCAGACUAGAGGACAAUAGAGGAAGUCGGAAUUCUCAGUGUAGCGGUGAAAUGCGUAGAUAUUGGGAAGAACACCAGUGGCGAAAGCGCUCUACUGGACCUUAUCUGACAUUGAGGGACGAAAGCUAGGGGAGCGAAUGGG